rnacentral:rRNA from 1 species
ACAUCCAGAGGAUUUAGCAGAGAUGCUUUAGUGCCUUCGGGAACUCUGAGACAGGUGCUGCAUGGCUGUCGUCAGCUCGUGUUGUGAAAUGUUGGGUUAAGUCCCGCAACGAGCGCAACCCUUAUCCUUUGUUGCCAGCACGUAAUGGUGGGAACUCAAAGGAGACUGCCGGUGAUAAACCGGAGGAAGGUGGGGAUGACGUCAAGUCAUCAUGGCCCUUACGAGUAGGGCUACACACGUGCUACAAUGGCGCAUACAAAGAGAAGCGACCUCGCGAGAGCAAGCGGACCUCAUAAAGUGCGUCGUAGUCCGGAUUGGAGUCUGCAACUCGACUCCAUGAAGUCGGAAUCGCUAGUAAUCGUAAAUCAGAAUGUUACGGUGAAUACGUUCCCGGGCCUUGUACACACCGCCCGUCACACCAUGGGAGUGGGUUGCAAAAGAAGUAGAUAGCUUAACCUUCGGGAGGGCGUUUACCACUUUGUGAUUCAUGACUGGGGUGAAGUCGUAACAAGGUAAGCGUAGUGCU